UACGUAGGGGGCAAGCGUUGUCCGGAUUUACUGGGCGUAAAGAGCGUGUAGGCGGCCAACUAAGUCGGAUGUGAAAUCCCCAGGCUUAACCUGGGAAUUGCAUCCGAUACUGGAUGGCUUGAAUCCGGGAGAGGGAUGCGGAAUCCAGGUGUAGCGGUGAAAUGCGUAGAUAUCUGGAGGAACACCGGUGGCGAAGGCGGCAUCCUGGACCGGCAUUGACGCUGAGGAGCGAAGCCAGGGAGCAAACGGG
rnacentral:rRNA from 1 species